UACGAUAAGGGCAAACCCAGAGUGAUCAGGGGACGCAAAGUAAAGGGUCUUACAUAGUUUUAAAUUCAGAGUUUUGAGACAUGAUUCAUAAGACAGCCUUAUUGCCGAAG
rnacentral:ncRNA from 1 species